CCUACGGGAGGCAGCAGUAAGGAAUAUUGGUCAAUGGACGAAAGUCUGAACCAGCCAUGCCGCGUGAAGGAUGACGGCCCUCUGGGUUGUAAACUUCUUUUAUCUGGGACGAAAAAAGGGAAUUCUUUCUCACUUGACGGUACCAGAGGAAUAAGCACCGGCUAACUCCGUGCCAGCAGCCGCGGUAAUACGGAGGGUGCAAGCGUUAUCCGGAUUCACUGGGUUUAAAGGGAGCGUAGGUGGGCAGGUAAGUCAGUGGUGAAAUCUCCGGGCUUAACCCGGAAACUGCCAUUGAUACUAUUUGUCUUGAAUUAUCUGGAGGUAAGCGGAAUAUGUCAUGUAGCGGUGAAAUGCUUAGAUAUGACAUAGAACACCGAUUGCGAAGGCAGCUUACUACGGAUAUAUUGACACUGAGGCUCGAAAGCGUGGGGAUCAAACAGGAUUAGAUACCCUGGUAGUCCACGCCCUAAACGAUGGAUACUCGACAUCAGCGAUACACUGUUGGUGUCUGAGCGAAAGCAUUAGAUCCACCUGGGAAGUACGACCGCAAGGUUGAAACUUCAAAGGAAUUGACGGNNGAGAGNGCGAGACGACGACGAGGAGAGG
rnacentral:rRNA from 1 species